CUUGGACUUUGGGGGGGUUUUGCUGGCCUACGGCCGGCUCCUCUAAAAUGAAUCAGCUUACCAGUGUUUGGUGGGUACCAUGGGUGUGAUAACUAUCUAUGCCUUGGUGUAUAUGAUGCAUGCUGCUUCUGAACUUGCGUCUUGCGCAUUUUAUUGACAAAUUUGACCUCAAAUCAGGUAGGAUUACCCGCUGAACUUAA
rnacentral:misc_RNA from 1 species